CUGGCGACCGGCAAACGGGUGCGGAACACGUACGCAACUUACCCAAAACUGGGGAAUAGCCCGGGGAAACCCGGAUUAAUACCUCGUAACAUAAUGAAGUGGCAUCACUUUAUUAUUAUAGCUCCGGCGGUUUUGGAUGGGCGUGCGCCUGAUUAGGUAGUUGGCGGGGUAACGGCCCACCAAGCCUUCGAUCAGUAACUGGUGUGAGAGCACGACCAGUCACACGGGCACUGAGACACGGGCCCG
rnacentral:rRNA from 1 species